UUAACGAUCAUCAAAUUGGCU
rnacentral:miRNA from 1 species